rnacentral:rRNA from 1 species
GACGAACGCUGGCGGCGUGCUUAACACAUGCAAGUCGAACGGAAAGGCCCUGCUUUUGUGGGGUGCUCGAGUGGCGAACGGGUGAGUAACACGUGAGUAACCUGCCCUUGACUUUGGGAUAACUUCAGGAAACUGGGGCUAAUACCGGAUAGGAGCUCCUGCUGCAUGGUGGGGGUUGGAAAGUUUCGGCGGUUGGGGAUGGACUCGCGGCUUAUCAGCUUGUUGGUGGGGUAGUGGCUUACCAAGGCUUUGACGGGUAGCCGGCCUGAGAGGGUGACCGGCCACAUUGGGACUGAGAUACGGCCCAGACUCCUACGGGAGGCAGCAGUGGGGAAUAUUGCACAAUGGGCGGAAGCCUGAUGCAGCAACGCCGCGUGCGGGAUGACGGCCUUCGGGUGGUAAACCGCUUUCGCCUGUGACUAAGCGUGAGUGACGGUAAUGGGUAAAGAAGCACCGGCUAACUACGU